CCUACGGGAGGCUGCAGUGAGGAAUAUUGGUCAAUGGGCGGAAGCCUGAACCAGCCAAGUAGCGUGCAGGAUGACGGCCCUACGGGUUGUAAACUGCUUUUAUACGGGGAUAACGCACCUUACGUGUAGGUCUUUGCAUGUACCGUAUGAAUAAGGACCGGCUAAUUCCGUGCCAGCAGCCGCGGUAAUACGGAAGGUCCGGGCGAUAUCCGGAUUUAUUGGGUUUAAAGGGGGCGGAGGCCGGUUGUCAAGCGUGCUGUGAAAUGUCCGGGCUCAACCCGGGCCUUGCAGCGCGAACUGGCGUGCUGGAGUCGGCGGAAAGCAGGCGGAAUUCGUCGUGUAGCGGUGAAAUGCUUAGAUAUGACGAAGAACCCCGAUUGCGAAGGCAGCUUGCUGCAGCGGAACUGACGCUGAGGCUCGAAAGCGCGGGUAUCGAACAGGAUUAGAUACCCGUGUAGUC
rnacentral:rRNA from 1 species